UACAGGGGGGGCAAGCGUUGUUCGGAAUUACUGGGCGUAAAGGGUUCGUAGGUGGCUCACUAAGUCACACGUGAAAUCCCUCAGCUUAACUGGGGAACUGCGUGUGAUACUGGAUGGCUUGGAUUUGGGAGAGGGAUGCGGAAUUCCAGGUGUAGCGGUGAAAUGCGUAGAUAUCUGGAGGGACACCGGUGGCGAAGGCGGCAUCCUGGACCAAUAUUGACGCUGAGGAGCGAAAAGCCAGGGGGAGCAAACGGG
rnacentral:rRNA from 1 species